CCCUAUCGUAUCUAGUUUAUAGGCUAUCUAUUGUGGAUUAACGCACCAACAAGUUCUCCAUACAUGGCGUGUAACGCACAGUUGACCUCGAACACAUCUAACUCCUGCAGGCUAUUAUUAGACAUACAACAUAUGGCUCGGAAUGAGUGAGACCUAACGGUGCCUGCCUGCGGCGCACAUGUUGCGUCAAGUUAGUCGAGUUUCACAGUUUACAGUCUGAUAGCCCUGCUGCUGUUUUAGUAUGAGGGGAACGUUCACAAUACUGUGUUACUGUGAGUAUAUCAGUGGUUAUUGUUGAAUUGUUGGUCGUCUCUCAAACUGCUGUCUUUACAGUUUCAGACUGAUGCCCCGCUGAUGUCCUCCGUGUCCCGCUGCUCUGCUCACACUCAGCCGGCUGUUUAAGAUGUUUCAUCUCCACGAUGCCGAAGGAAGGACUAAAGGAGCUACAGCAGGCAUGACGAGCGCCAGACAAACACCACAGCAGCCAGAGAUGCCCUGCAGCAUUACAACUGCACAUUAAACUGGUUUUACUGUGUACAACAGUGUUUAGUGCAAGUGUUUAUCCUUUAUAAAGCUAAAGCAGGCUCCUUUAAGUUAAUACAGUGGAUUUCCAGUAUUAUAAUUUGUCACUGAUAUGGAUAAUUUACCGAUAUUGUUAUGUUUUUCCAGCAAAAUAAUCCAUUGGGGCCAAAUACUAAUACAGAGUCUUAACUGUCGUGAUGUUGUUUUACUCCUGAGCUGGUCAGGUUUUACAGCAGGACUGGAAACUGAUAAAGGAAAUAAAGCAUUCUGUUUCUGAGCUUUCA